rnacentral:rRNA from 1 species
GAGUUUGAUCGUGGCUCAGAACGAACGCUGGCGGCAGGCCUAACACAUGCAAGUCGAACGCUCCGCAAGGGGAGUGGCGCACGGGUGAGUAACGCGUGGGAACGUGCCCUUAGGUACGGAACAACAGUUGGAAACGACUGCUAAUACCGUAUGAUGUCUUCGGACCAAAGAUUUAUCGCCUAAGGAUCGGCCCGCGUUAGAUUAGGUAGUUGGUGGGGUAAAAGCCCACCAAGCCUACGAUCUAUAGCUGGUCUCAGAGGAUGAUCAGCCACACUGGAACUGAGACACGGUCCAGACUCCUACGGGAGGCAGCAGUGAGGAAUAUUGGACAAUGGGCGCAAGCCUGAUCCAGCCAUGCCGCGUGAAUGAUGAAGGCCUUAGGGUUGUAAAGUUCUUUUAGCUGUGACGAUGAUGACGGUAGCAGCAGAAAAAGCCCCGGCUAACUCCGUGCCAGCCGCCGCAGUAAG